rnacentral:rRNA from 1 species
ACGCUGGCGGCAGGCCUAACACAUGCAAGUCGAGCGGAAACGAGUUAACUGAACCUUCGGGGAACGUUAACGGCGUCGAGCGGCGGACGGGUGAGUAAUGCCUGGGAAAUUGCCCUGAUGUGGGGGAUAACCAUUGGAAACGAUGGCUAAUACCGCAUAAUAGCUUCGGCUCAAAGAGGGGGACCUUCGGGCCUCUCGCGUCAGGAUAUGCCCAGGUGGGAUUAGCUAGUUGGUGAGGUAAUGGCUCACCAAGGCGACGAUCCCUAGCUGGUCUGAGAGGAUGAUCAGCCACACUGGAACUGAGACACGGUCCAGACUCCUACGGGAGGCAGCAGUGGGGAAUAUUGCACAAUGGGCGCAAGCCUGAUGCAGCCAUGCCGCGUGUAUGAAGAAGGCCUUCGGGUUGUAAAGUACUUUCAGCAGUGAGGAAGGUGGGUAUGUUAAUAGCAUACUCAUUUGACGUUAGCUGCAGAAGAAGCACCGGCUAACUCCGUGCCAGCAGCCGCGGUAAUACGGAGGGUGCGAGCGUUAAUCGGAAUUACUGGGCGUAAAGCGCAUGCAGGUGGUUUGUUAAGUCAGAUGUGAAAGCCCGGGGCUCAACCUCGGAAUUGCAUUUGAAACUGGCAAACUAGAGUACUGUAGAGGGGGGGUAGAAUUUCAGGUGUAGCGGUGAAAUGCGUAGAGAUCUGAAGGAAUACCGGUGGCGAAAGGCGGCCCCUGG